CUAAAAGGUAAAUUUUGAAAAUCACAAAAGUUCAAAUUCAAAGACGUUGACCAUCUACGUACGUUAAAAAAUAAAUCUGAACGUUUAAUAUCAUGCAAGGUUACAUAUAGUGUAGUAUCUUUUGUGUCAAUUCGACAAAAGAGAAGAAAAACGGCAUAAUUUAUGUAAUAAAAAAAUAAACCAACAAACGACAACCCCAGACUCCUGACUUGUGGAAAGGCACAUACCGAAUGUGGCGGUGUUAAACUAGUUUGUUUGCGCCAAACCCUCCCAUAUCCUGGGACAGUACAACUUAAGGAACAAACUAUACAAAACCAUAAACGAAAAACAAAAAUAAGUAACAGAAAAAAAGCGACAACCA
rnacentral:lncRNA from 1 species